GCGGCGGCGGCGGCGGCGGCAGCGCACGGCGGACCGGGCGGCGCUCGCCAUCGAGAAGCACCCCAACGUGAGCCUGAGGUGGUUCCAGCCGGUGCAGGCCGGCAAGUCCCCCCCGAGCCCCCCCCGGCUGUACUACCCCAACGAGGGCUACAGCGAGGUGGGCGAGGUGCCGCCCCC